rnacentral:rRNA from 1 species
GAGUUUGAUCGUGGCUCAGAUUGAACGCUGGCGGCAGGCCUAACACAUGCAAGUCGGGCGGUAGAGAGAAGCUUGCUUCUCUUGAGAGCGGGCGGACGGGUGAGUAAUGCCUAGGAAUCUGCCUGGUAGUGGGGGGAUAACGCUCGGAAACGGACGCUAAUACCGCAUACGUCCUACGGGAGAAAGCAGGGGACCUUCGGGCCUUGCGCUAUCAGAUGAGCCUAGGUCGGAUUAGCUAGUUGGUGAGGUAAUGGCUCACCAAGGCGACGAUCCGUAACUGGUCUGAGAGGAUGAUCAGUCACACUGGAACUGAGACACGGUCCAGACUCCUACGGGAGGCAGCAGUGGGGAAUAUUGGACAAUGGGCGAAAGCCUGAUCCAGCCAUGCCGCGUGUGUGAAGAAGGUCUUCGGAUUGUAAAGCACUUUAAGUUGGGAGGAAGGGCAGUAAAUUAAUACUUUGCUGUUUUGACGUUACCGACAGAAUAAGCACCGGCUAACUCUGUGCCAGCCGCCG